GCAGAUAAACGAAUCUAAAAAUUGAGAUGACAAUCAUCCAUUAGUCAUUUAAUCAUUGUGGUUUCUGCUUAAAGUAAUCCAACAGAAAGAUGAAGGUUCUGCUGCUGUCAUUGGUUCUCGCACUGCUGUUGGCUGAUGGAUUUGCCUUGAAAUGUAAUAACUGUGUUCCCCGCUCUGGUGGACGUUGUUCGACCACCAGGCAGACUUGUGGUUAUAAUCAAGAUGCCUGUGUAUCUGCCAGUUUCUUAAUCGCUCCUUGUGAGUUUACACUCAUCUGCAUGCAAUGGAUUUUAAAAUAAACACACAUAUAUAUUUAUUUGUUAUCUUGUAUAUGUUUUUUAUGCUGGCUUGAUAAAGCGAACUGUUAUCAUACAUACAGUACUCAGACAGUUACAUUCUUUUUAACUUCAAUUUUUCAACUUGAAGGUCAUAUUUAUUAAAUGUGUCUGUUUGUUUGAAGAUGUGUAGACAUGCUCAAAAUAGAUAGCAAGGAUGACAAAAAAUCACUUUCAAAACAGACUUGUAAACCAAUACUUUUAGUUACAAGAGAUAGGCCCAUUUUGUUUCAGAUUGUUUUUUAUUUCUAUUUUUUCCUCUAGAUACCCAUUUCCGGAGGUGCAUUGCUAUGUCCGACUGCAUGAUUCUUCGGGCCAGCCCUCACAUAUCAGCCUCAUGCUGUCAGAGUGAUCUGUGCAAUUAAAUUCACAGGGCUCAACACUCAGAUUGCGUUUUUAAGAAGAAACAACUCAAAUGGGAAGUUUUUUUAAUGCCACUGAGCUGAUCAUUUAUUUACAUAAUCAAAAAUAAUGAUUUAUUUUGGAUGUUACACAACCUGCUAGAUUUGGAGUGAUUCUGAUGUACACUGUUUAUUUCUUUUAAUCAUUUAUAUGCAAAUUUACAUACUGUUCAAAAGUCUAGGGUCUGCUCGUUCUUCAUUUGUAUUUUUCCCCACAUUUUAGAUUAAUUAACCUCCCAAAACAAUACAAUUACAUAAAUGAAACUAAAGAAAAUAUAGACCUAAAACACCUUUAAAUAGAAGUAAAUGCCUAGAAUUAGCUCUUUAACAGUGUUGGAUUAAAUUGCAUCUAUUUUGAAAACAUGUUUAAAUAAAGAUUUUUAGAAACAAAUAUGUUGGCUCUUCACAUAACUAUUUCAAACAUUCACACAUAUGCCUUCAUAUCAGAGAUCAUGAAAGUCAAGCAGCCUGAAACUUUUUAGCAGUAGUGUAAAUGGAGUGUUUUGUCUUGUUUUUUAUUUUUGGUAAAAAAAAUGGCUUGUCAUAGCUCUAAGAAGCAUUUUCUACCAUGUUUGAAAUAAAAAUACAGCUAAUUUUGUUAGAUUCAGCCAUAAGGUCAUUGAUUAGUUUAAUUUACCAUGUGACCUGACAGAGCAUUUUUAAUGUAUUAUUGUUUUUUUAUAUAAACAACAUAUCACAUAACAAUUAAAUAAUAAAUAAUGACUGAAUCAAAUGA